AUCACAUAACUUUUUUUUCCCAUCGGUAUAGAAUAAUCUUGUCUUGUACAACAAAAACAUUAAACGCAAGUAAACUUACACUAUUACUCCCCAUCAGAGCAAUCAUGUUUUUUUUUUACAGAAGUAGUACCUCAAUUCAAAAAGCCUAGAAUCUAUAACAAUAUUUUUAACCAAAAACUUUUUAAUUAACAUUGAGUAUGUCAGCAAGUCACAAUUUCAAACAAUCAGUGAUUACUGGCUGCAAAACUGCUGGAGUUACAAGAUGCAAGCUAUAUUGAGUUGAGAAGCAGCUUGUGCUAAAAAGUGAAAGAUGGAAACUUUUCUCCCAUAGCCCAGAUCAACCACUCAAUGACACAAGGCAAGAUAAACAAUUUGAGAUAGAUGCAGACCUCAUACAUCUAAAAGAUGAUAAUAUGCAGUCUAAAAUGUUAGUCUUGUAGUAUAUAAAUAGAGAACGAUUAUAUAAAAGAAAAUUAUAUGAUAAA